GACGAACGCUGGCGGCGUGCUUAACACAUGCAAGUCGAACGGUAAGGCCCUUCGGGGUACACGAGUGGCGAACGGGUGAGUAACACGUGGGUGAUCUGCCCUGCACUUCGGGAUAAGCCUGGGAAACUGGGUCUAAUACCGGAUAGGACCACUGCCUGCAUGGGUGGUGGUGGAAAGCUUUUGCGGUGUGGGAUGGGCCCGCGGCCUAUCAGCUUGUGGGUGGGGUGAUGGCCUACCAAGGCGACGACGGGUAGCCGGCCUGAGAGGGUGACCGGCCACACUGGGACUGAGAUACGGCCCAGACUCCUACGGGAGGCAGCAGUGGGGAAUAUUGCACAAUGGGCGCAAGCCUGAUGCAGCAACGCCGCGUGAGGGAUGACGGCCUUCGGGUUGUAAACCUCUUUUAGUAGGGAAGAAGCGAAAGUGACGGUGCCUGCAGAAAAAGCACCGGCUAACUACGUGCCAGCCGCCGCAGUAA
rnacentral:rRNA from 1 species